rnacentral:rRNA from 1 species
CCUACGGGAGGCAGCAGUGGGGAAUAUUGCACAAUGGGGGAAACCCUGAUGCAGCGACGCCGCGUGAGUGAAGAAGUAAUUCGGUAUGUAAAGCUCUAUCAGCAGGGAAGAAAAUGACGGUACCUGAGUAAGAAGCCCCGGCUAACUACGUGCCAGCAGCCGCGGUAAUACGUAGGGGGCAAGCGUUAUCCGGAUUUACUGGGUGUAAAGGGAGCGUAGACGGCAGUGCAAGUAUGGAGUGAAAGGCGGGGGCUCAACCCCCGGACUGCUCUUGAAACUGUACGGCUGGAGUGCAGGAGAGGUAAGUGGAAUUCCUAGUGUAGCGGUGAAAUGCGUAGAUAUUAGGAGGAACACCAGUGGCGAAGGCGGCUUACUGGACUGUAACUGACGUUGAGGCUCGAAAGCGUGGGGAGCAAACAGGAUUAGAUACCCGUGUAGUC